GAUGAAGAACGUAGCGAAAUGCGAUACGUAAUGUGAAUUGCAGAAUUCAUUGAAUCAUCGAGUCUUUGAACGCACAUUGCGCCCCCUGGUAUUCCGGGGGGCAUGCCUGUCCGAGCGUCAUUGCUGCCCUCAAGCACGGCUUGUGUGUUGGGCCUCCGUCCUCCUCCCGGGGGACGGGCCCGAAAGGCAGCGGCGGCACCGCGUCCGGUCCUCGAGCGUAUGGGGCUUCGUCACCCGCUCUUGUAGGCCCGGCCGGCGCUUGCCGACACAUCAAUCUUUUUUCCAGGUUGACCUCGGAUCAGGUAGGGAUACCCGCUGAACUUAAGCAUAUCAAUAAGCGGAGGA
rnacentral:misc_RNA from 1 species